rnacentral:rRNA from 1 species
GACGAACGCUGGCGGCGUGCUUAACACAUGCAAGUCGAACGGAAAGGCCCUGCUUUUGUGGGGUGCUCGAGUGGCGAACGGGUGAGUAACACGUGAGUAACCUGCCCUUGACUUUGGGAUAACUUCAGGAAACUGGGGCUAAUACCGGAUAGGAGCUCCUGCUGCAUGGUGGGGGCUGGAAAGUUUCGGCGGUUGGGGAUGGACUCGCGGCUUAUCAGCUUGUUGGUGGGGUAGUGGCUUACCAAGGCUUUGACGGGUAGCCGGCCUGCGAGGGUGACCGGCCACAUUGGGAGGGAGAUACGGCCCAGACUCCUACGGGAGGCAGGAGUGGGGAAUAUUGCACAAUGGGCGGAAGCAUGAUGCAGCAACGCCGGGUGCGGGAUGACGGCCUUCGGGUUGUAAACCGCUUUCGCCUGUGACGAAGCGUGAGGGACGGUAAUGGGUAAAGAAGCACCGGCUAACUACGU